UAUUUAUGUAAUAACUCGAUAUAAUGCACUUUUAAUCACAGUACACAGGCAUGGAGGUAGAAUAGUGUUUUCCCAGUGCAGUUUCUUAUAAACAAAGUUAAUAUGAAUACAUACGUGGAAGUAUCAUACAGACUUGUCAAACUUGUCUAGUUUUAAGGAAGUUGGAUGAACGCACUGUGUGCCUUUCAACAGUCCCAAAUUCUGGGUCCUGUCCCAACAUCACAGGUUUGUUUCCUCUUGUCUCGCAUUUGCGGACAUCAGACAAAUGUCCCCCAUCAGCAGAUAAACUUCAACUAUGUAACCUCAAGGUACUACUGAGCCCUUACAUGCACCCCAGACUGACAAGUUGAACUCAUUGCUGCCCUCUAGUGGCCUGCCAACCCUUGCAUUCUGCAUCCAUAACUCCCUUUGUUGGAAGGUAUGGUACUGUUUAUUCUGCCCCUAAUAUAGGGCAGAAUAUGGCGUUAACAUUUACUUUCAACUUCCUGAAAACAAGCCUGUUUGUUAGCAG